CCCGCUGAACUUAAGCAUAUCAAUAAGCGGAGGAAAAGAAACUAACAAGGAUUCCCCUAGUAACUGCGAGUGAAGCGGGAAAAGCUCAAAUUUAAAAUCUGGUGGUCUCUGGCCAUCCGAGUUGUAAUUUAGAGAAGCGUCUUCCGCGCUGGACCGUGCACAAGUCUCCUGGAAUGGAGCGUCAUAGAGGGUGAGAAUCCCGUCUUUGGCACGGAUGUCCCGGGGCUUUUGUGAUGCGCUCUCGAAGAGUCGAGUUGUUUGGGAAUGCAGCUCAAAAUGGGUGGUGAACUCCAUCUAAAGCUAAAUAUUGGCGAGAGACCGAUAGCGAACAAGUACAGUGAUGGAAAGAUGAAAAGAACUCCGAAAGGAGAGUGAAAAAGGACGUGAAAUUGUUGAAAGGGAAGUGCUUGAGAUCAGUCUUAAGGUUUAGUGAUCAGUCUUCCUUUUGGUUGGUGCACUCGCUAUUUCUUAGGCCAACAUCAGUUUUGGCGGCAGGAUAAUGACAUUGGAAUGUGGCUCUUUCGGGAGUGUUAUAGCCUUUGUUGAUACUGCCUGCUUAGACUGAGGACUGCGCUUUUGCUAGGAUGUUGGCAUAAUGAUCUUAAGCAGCCCGUCUUGAAACACGG
rnacentral:rRNA from 1 species